CGCAAGCCUGAUCCAGCCAUGCCGCGUGCGGGAAGAAGGCCUUCGGGUUGUAAACCGCUUUUGGCAGGAACGAAACGGCGAUUCCUAAUACGAGUCGUUAAUGACGGUACCUGCAGAAUAAGCACCGGCUAACUACGUGCCAGCAGCCGCGGUAAUACGUAGGGUGCAAGCGUUAAUCGGAAUUACUGGGCGUAAAGCGUACGCAGGCGGCUUUGCAAGACAGGUGUGAAAUCCCCGGGCCUAACCUGGGAACUGCAUUUGUGACUGCAUGGCUAGAGUCUGUCAGAGGGGGGUGGAAUUCCACGUGUAGCAGUGAAAUGCGUAGAGAUGUGGAAGAACACCGAUGGCGAAGGCAGCCCCCUGGGAUGAGACUGACGCUCAUGUACGAAAGCGUGGGGAGCAAACAGGAUUAGAUACCCUGGUAGUCCACGCCCUAAACGAUGUCUACUAGUUGUCGGAGGGUAACUCCUUCGGUAACGCAGCUAACGCGUGAAGUAGACCGCCUG
rnacentral:rRNA from 1 species